ACUAUAAUAAACUUCUAAAUUUAAGUUACCAAAAAAAAUUCUAAAUGUAUGUGUAAUUUUUUGUGCCCACUAGGGUGGGUAACUUUCUUUUUGGUCCACCGAUGGACCAAAGAGAUUUUCAGUAAUUUCCAAACAUCAUCCCCAAUCCUUCCCUUUCUCCCCUACUGCUGCCCCACCCUUCUCGUUUCCCCACUGCCACCUACCUUCCCUCAAUAAGCUGCAAACAUUAAUCUUUUCUAUCUCUUAAGUAAGAGGAAUUUAACUUAAUCUGGAAAGGAGGAAAAAUCUGGAAGCAAACUAGGUGUUUCAGAUCUGCAAAAAGAGGAAUUUUUCAGAUCUACAAGGAGUGUCGGUGCCAUUUUUCUUCUUCUUCUACCUUACUUAUUACACCUUCCUCCUCCCCUUUCUCUCUGUGUUUCUUUUCUCCUUUCUCCCUGUUUAUCCUUUUAUUUUCUCAGAACACAAAAAAAAAAAAAAUGCCUGCAACUGCAACAACAGAGAACAAUCAAGGCUGGAGCACGCAGAUCUCACGCGCCUGAGGGAGAGGAGGGCGGCGCGGGGGAGUGCGAGCAAGACAGAGGUUGGAGCGACCGGUGGUACACUUGGGUGGCGCGGGUCGCUGGUCACACGCGGGCACAAGUGGUUUUGGAACACCAGAUGGUGUGGCCAGUGAUGGAACUUAAAACCUCACCGCAGCUGGGAGAAGAAGAGCUGGUAAUAGGAGUGGAUGUAGGAAUUGUCAAAUUAUAUUUUUACCCUUUUUAUCAUCAAUCAAUCCUAACCAUUCAAUGAAAAAAUAUUCUAAGAUUCUCAAA